rnacentral:rRNA from 1 species
UACAUACGGGAGGCAGCAGUGAGGAAUAUUGGUCAAUAGGCGGAAGCCUGAACCAGCCAAGUCGCGUGAGGGAAUAAGGCCCUACGGGUCGUAAACCUCUUUUGCCGGGGAGCAAGGGCGGGGACGUGUCCCGGCCCGGAGAGUACACGGAGAAGAAGCAUCGGCUAACUCCGUGCAAGCAGCCGCGGUAAUACGGAGGAUGCGAGCGUUAUGCGGAUUUAUUGGGUUUAAAGGGGGCGAAGG